UACAGAGGUCUCAAGCGUUGUUCGGAUUCAUUGGGCGUAAAGGGUGCGUAGGUGGCGGGGUAAGUCAGGUGUGAAAUCUCGGGGCUCAACCCCGAAACUGCACUUGAUACUGCCUUGCUAGAGUACUGGAGAGGAGAUUGGAAUUUACGGUGUAGCAGUGAAAUGCGUAGAUAUCGUAAGGAAGACCAGUGGCGAAGGCGAAUCUCUGGACAGUUACUGACACUGAGGCACGAAGGCCAGGGGAGCAAACGGG
rnacentral:rRNA from 1 species